rnacentral:rRNA from 1 species
GCUGGUGCGGUUAGCGUAUGAACAGGUGUGACGCAGGAAGGUAGCUGAGCCAGGCGAUGGUAUCCGUAAGGUGAACCUGGUGUAAGGAUGUAGGGCUGACGAUAGGCAAAUCCGUCGUCUGUGUGCCUGAGAUCCGACGCGUACCCGUAAGGGGAAAUCAGUGAUCCUAUGCUGCCGAGAAAAGCAUCGACGCGAGGUUGCAGCCGCCCGUACCCGAAACCGACUCAGGUGGUCAGGUAGAGAAUACCAAGGAGAUCGAGAGAAUCGUGGUUAAGGAACUCGGCAAAAUGCCCCCGUAACUUCGGGAGAAGGGGGGCCGGACACGUGACCGGAUUUACUCCGUGAGCGUUGAAGGCCGCAGAGACCAGUGGGAAGCGACUGUUUACUAAAAACACAGGUCCGUGCGAAGUCGCAAGACGAUGUAUACGGACUGACGCCUGCCCGGUGCUGGAAGGUUAAGAGGAAGGGUUAGCCUUUGGGCGAAGCUCUGAAUUUAAGCCCCAGUAAACGGCGGUGGUAACUAUAACCAUCCUAAGGUAGCGAAAUUCCUUGUCGGGUAAGUUCCGACCUGCACGAAUGGCGUAACGACUUCCCAGCUGUCUCAACCGCGAACUCGGCGAAAUUGCACUACGAGUAAAGAUGCUCGUUACGCGCAGCAGGACGGAAAGACCCCGUGACCUUUACUACAGUUUGGUAUUGGUGUUCGGAGUGGCUUGUGUAGGAUAGGUGGGAGACUGUGAAGCGGGCACGCUAGUGUUCGUGGAGUCAUUGUUGAAAUACCACUCUGGUCACUUUGGAUGUCUAACGUAGGACCCUGAUCGGGUUCAUGGACAGUGCCUGAUGGGUAGUUUAACUGGGGCGGUUGCCUCCCAAAGAGUAACGGAGGCGCCCAAAGGUUCCCUCAACCUGGUUGGCAAUCAGGUGGCGAGUGUAAGUGCACAAGGGAGCUUGACUGUGAGACUGACAGGUCGAGCAGGGACGAAAGUCGGGACUAGUGAUCCGGCAGUGGCUUGUGGAAGCGCUGUCGCUCAACGGAUAAAAGGUACCUCGGGGAUAACAGGCUGAUCUUGCCCAAGAGUCCAUAUCGACGGCAUGGUUUGGCACCUCGAUGUCGGCUCGUCGCAUCCUGGGGCUGGAGUAGGUCCCAAGGGUUGGGCUGUUCGCCCAUUAAAGCGGUACGCGAGCUGGGUUUAGAACGUCGUGAGACAGUUCGGUCCCUAUCCGCUGCGCGCGUUGGAAAUUUGAGAAGAUCUAUCCCUAGUACGAGAGGACCGGGAUGGACGAACCUCUGGUGUGUCAGUUGUUCUGCCAAGGGCACCGCUGAUUAGCUACGUUCGGACCGGAUAACCGCUGAAAGCAUCUAAGCGGGAAGCCGUCUUCGAGAUGAGAUUUCCAUGCACCUUGAGUGUGAGAGGCUCCCAGCAGACUACUGGGUUGAUAGGCCGGAUGUGGAAGCGGGGACUAACGACCCGUGGAGCUGACCGGUACUAAUAAGCCGAAGACUUGAUAAC